UUCAGCCCACCGGUUUAUGAAGCUUGAGUUUUGUUGGCAGCUCUGGACUACAACUUCCAUCGUGACAGGCCAAUGCUCACAACAGAGGGCCAACAAAUUUUCAGACGGACAUAUAACAAAAAUGCCAGGAGGUACAGCCUGUAUGCUGCAAAGGCGCAGAAGACCUACGACUACAUCCCAAAUCUGCAAGGGAGAAUUGUUGAGCAACGACUCAGCAGCGGGGUUGGAAUGCCCAGGACCAGGACACUUCGACCUGACGACCCUAGGAGACUUGGCGUUGUGCCCCCAGUCCCUCUACCAACGAUGUCAGAGCUUGUGCAGACACAAGUCAGCCGAGGUCUUGCUUCUGCUUUCCAGGCAGCUGCUGAUGACGACCAAUGAUGUACUUCAUGACCACCUCCAUCCUGAUGUGAAUUUUUUUUUUUUUUACCUUUACAUUUAUUGUUGGGAGAAUCGUUCUUUUCUUGACUUUUUUAUGAAUGUAUGUAUAUUCUGUAUAUAAAAACAGCACUGACAAAGUGUUAUCUUUCUUUUUUUAUUGCUAAAAGAAAUAGAAAUUGCACUGCAUUACAAUGUAACUUGUACAAACUGUUCAAAAACAAAAGUCUAACUAUUUACAGUAAAAAUAAACCAAAUAUUUUAAAUUAAAAAGUCUGUCAAAUAUCUGAAUUAUCUAUUUACAAGUACAAAUGAAAAAUCAAUUAAAUAGGGGGUAUGAAUCCAGCAUAUUGCCCGUGGGGAUCAGGGAACUUGUCCCUGAUCUUCCAGACACAACAGCUCGGAAUGACCCUCCUGUUGCCCUGCCCCAAGGACCCAUGCUGCCAAAAUAUGUAGUGGCGGUAGGCAGCAUACCGGAAUUCUCUGUUAUCGUUCCCCGGCUCUCUAAUGGCACCUAGCCUAGUCACAUCUUCCCGGUACUGCCUGUGCACCCUGAGGUAUGCUGGAUCAAGGCAAAACUGUAAAAAGUGUCUAAGUGCACUUGAACAAUUCUGAGGGUCCUGUCCACAGCACUGCUUCUCCCGGUCGGUUGGCAUUUCCCGACAAUUCCCACAACUGCACCAAGGCACCACUGGUGAACCUGCAGGAGAUGGGGCACCAUGCCUGUUCCGCCACCGCUGCAGGACAUCAAAGACCAGGCCUGGUUGAUACUCGAGGAUCUCAGAUGUGAAACUGCGGAAAUCAUCCAGUGUCAUCUCCUGCAGUGCUGCCUGCAGAAAUAACAGGGAAUUUAGGUUUAUACUGCCUAAGCCAUUGUAAAAUACAUUGUGAAGGAAGUCAGAGAAAUAUGGAUUAUUGGAGGUCGGGUAGAGUAGAGUAGAGUAGAGUAACUUUAUUGAUCCCCAGGGGGAAAUGCAGGUAUCCAGUAGCUUACAUAAAUACACAAAAGGUAAUGGAAGCAAAUGCAUUUGCUGCAGGAAGAGUGCU